rnacentral:rRNA from 1 species
UACGGGGGGGGCAAGCGUUGUUCGGAAUUACUGGGCGUAAAGGGCGCGUAGGCGGUUUGCUAAGUUGAAUGUGAAAACUCUGGGCUUAACCCAGAGCCUGCAUUCAAUACUGGCAGGCUAGAGUUCUGGAGGGGAUAGCGGAAUUCCUGGUGUAGCGGUGAAAUGCGUAGAUAUCAGGAGGAACACCAGUGGCGAAGGCGGCUCACUGGCCCGAUACUGACGCUGAGGCACGAAAGCGUGGGGAGCAAACAGG